rnacentral:rRNA from 1 species
GACGAACGCUGGCGGCGUGCUUAACACAUGCAAGUCGAACGGAAAGGCCCUGCUUUUGUGGGGUGCUCGAGUGGCGAACGGGUGAGUAACACGUGAGUAACCUGCCCUUGACUUUGGGAUAACUUCAGGAAACUGGGGCUAAUACCGGAUAGGAGCUCCUGCUGCAUGGUGGGGGUUGGAAAGUUUCGGCGGUUGGGGAUGGACGCGCGGCUUAUCAGCUUGUUGGUGGGGUAGUGGCUUACCAAGGCUUUGACGGGUAGCCGGCCGGAGAGGGUGACCGGGCACAUUGGGCCUGCGGGACGGCCCAGUCGCGUACGGUAGGCAGCGGUGGGGAAUAUUGCACAAUGGGCGGACGCCUGAUGAGGCAACGCCGCGUGCGUGAUGACGGCCUUCUGGUUGUAAACCGCUUUCGCCUGUGACGAAGCGUGAGUGACGGUAAUGGGUAAAGAAGCACCGGCUAACUACGUG